UAGCAGAACCCCAAGUGGUGGCCGAUAUUACUGGGCUUAAAGCGUUCGUAGCCGGACCUGUAAGUCCGUUGUGAAAUCCACGUGCUUAACAUGUGGGCGUGCAACGGAUACUGCAGGUCUAGGAACCGGAGGGUGUCGAGGCUAUUCCCGGAGUAGGAGUGAAAUCCUAAAAUUCCGGGAGGAGCGCCUGUGGCGAAAGCGCUCGACAACUACGGAUUCGACGGUGAGGAACGAAAGCCGGGGGAGCAAA
rnacentral:rRNA from 1 species